UGGCGGACGGGUGAGUAACGCGUGGGUAACCUGCCUCAUACAGGGGGAUAACGGUUAGAAAUGACUGCUAAUACCGCAUAAGCGCACAGUACCACAUGGUACAGUGUGAAAAACUCCGGUGGUAUGAGAUGGACCCGCGUCUGAUUAGGUAGUUGGUGGGGUAACGGCCUACCAAGCCGACGAUCAGUAGCCGACCUGAGAGGGUGACCGGCCACAUUGGGACUGAGACACGGCCCAG
rnacentral:rRNA from 1 species